rnacentral:rRNA from 1 species
AUGAUGGAUAGGCCAAGUACUUCUACCAACCCACUCUUCAUCGAGCAAGACAACGACAUGUCAUCAUUCGUCACGAAUAUCCACAUCUUUGGUGCACAACUAGCGUUGCAUCAAGAGCAACAAGCAAUGACCGACCGCAUCGACAAUCUUGCCACUGACUUGCGACUCUCCGAGCAACGUACAAAGGACUACUUCGACAACAAGCUCGACGCUCACAAGCAAGAGAAUGAUGCAGGAAUGGAUGAGAUCCGUGCCUUGUUGUACACCGACAUCGAACACUCUUCGACGAGCCGCGCGUCAAGAUCGUCAUGCAUCUCACAAUCCUCUACAUGA